CCUACGGGUGGCAGCAGUGGGGAAUAUUGCACAAUGGGCGCAAGCCUGAUGCAGCCAUGCCGCGUGUGUGAAGAAGGCCUUCGGGUUGUAAAGCACUUUCAGCGGGGAGGAAGGCGUUAAGGUUAAUAACCUUGUCGAUUGACGUUACCCGCAGAAGAAGCACCGGCUAACUCCGUGCCAGCAGCCGCGGUAAUACGGAGGGUGCAGGCGUUAAUCGGAAUUACUGGGCGUAAAGCGCACGCAGGCGGUCUGUCAAGUUGGAUGUGAAAUCCCCGGGCUCAACCUGGGAACUGCAUUCGAAACUGGCGGGCUAGAGUCUUGUAGAGGGGGGUAGAAUUCCAGGUGUAGCGGUGAAAUGCGUAGAGAUCUGGAGGAAUACCGGUGGCGAAGGCGGCCCCCUGGACAAAGACUGACGCUCAGGUGCGAAAGCGUGGGGAGCAAACAGGAUUAAUACCCUUGUAGUC
rnacentral:rRNA from 1 species